CACGUAGGGGGCGAGCGUUGUCCGGAUUUAUUGGGCGUAAAGAGCUCGUAGGCGGCUUAGUAAGUCGGGUGUGAAAACUCCAGGCUCAACCUGGAGACACCACCCGAUACUGCUGUGGCUAGAGUCCGGUAGGGGAGCGUGGAAUUCCUGGUGUAGCGGUGAAAUGCGCAGAUAUCAGGAGGAACACCAGCGGCGAAGGCGGCGCUCUGGGCCGGAACUGACGCUGAGGAGCGAAAGCGUGGGUAGCAAACAGG
rnacentral:rRNA from 1 species